GCCUGGGUGGCUCAGUUGGUUAGGCGUCCGACUUCGACUCAGAUCAUAACCUCACUGUCUGUGGGUUUGAGCCCCGCAUCGGGCU
rnacentral:tRNA from 1 species